CUCGGAAUUACUGGGCGUAAAGCGCGCGUAGGCGGUUUAGUAAGUGUGAUGUGAAAUCCCCGGGCUUAACCUGGGAACUGCAUUUGUGACUGCACGGCUAGAGUGUGUCAGAGGGGGGUAGAAUUCCACGUGUAGCAGUGAAAUGCGUAGAUAUGUGGAGGAAUACCGAUGGCGAAGGCAGCCCCCUGGGAUAACACUGACGCUCAUGCACGAAAGCGUGGGGAGCAAACA
rnacentral:rRNA from 1 species